UGGGGAAUAUUGCACAAUGGGCGAAAGCCUGAUGCAGCAACGCCGCGUGAGUGAUGAAGGUCUUCGGAUUGUAAAGCUCUGUCUUUUGGGACGAUAAUGACGGUACCAAAGGAGGAAGCCACGGCUAACUACGUGCCAGCAGCCGCGGUAAUACGUAGGUGGCGAGCGUUGUCCGGAUUUACUGGGCGUAAAGGGUGCGUAGGCGGAUGUUUAAGUGAGAUGUGAAAUACCCGGGCUUAACUUGGGUGCUGCAUUUCAAACUGGAUAUCUAGAGUGCAGGAGAGGAGAAUGGAAUUCCUAGUGUAGCGGUGAAAUGCGUAGAGAUUAGGAAGAACACCAGUGGCGAAGGCGAUUCUCUGGACUGUAACUGACGCUGAGGCACGAAAGCGUGGGUAGCAAACAGGAUUAGAUACCCUGGUAGUCCACGCCGUAAACGAUGAGUACUAGGUGUAGGAGGUAUCGACCCCCUUCUGUGCCG
rnacentral:rRNA from 1 species